rnacentral:rRNA from 1 species
GACGAACGCUGGCGGCGUGCCUAAUACAUGCAAGUUGAGCGCUGAAGGUUGGUACUUGUACCAACUGGAUGAGCAGCGAACGGGUGAGUAACGCGUGGGGAAUCUGCCUUUGAGCGGGGGACAACAUUUGGAAACGAAUGCUAAUACCGCAUAAAAACUUUAAACACAAGUUUUAAGUUUGAAAGAUGCAAUUGCAUCACUCAAAGAUGAUCCCGCGUUGUAUUAGCUAGUUGGUGAAGUAAAGGCUCACCAAGGCGAUGAUACAUAGCCGACCUGAGAGGGUGAUCGGCAACAUUGGGACUGAGACACGGCCCAAACUCCUACGGGAGGCAGCAGUAGGGAAUCUUCGGCAAUGGACGAAAGUCUGACCGAGCAACGCCGCGUGAGUGAAGAAGGGUGUCGGAUCGGAAAACUCUGUUGGUAGAGAAGAACGUUGGUGAGAGUGGAAAGCUCAUCAAGUGACGGUAACUACCCAGAAAGGGACGGCUAACUACGUG